rnacentral:snRNA from 1 species
GUGCUCACUUCAGCAGCACACGGGCUAAGACUGGAACGGUGCUGAAAUUAGCAUGGCUCCUGUGCAAGGCUGACACGCAAAUCCGUUGUGUUCCAUAUUUUU